GGAGCGCUUGCUUGUGGCAAAUGCAAUAGCUUGUGGCAAACUGGUUAUUCGCCAUAUUCAACAUGGCUCAUGUCACCACUCUGCACUGUCCGUGUGCCACACUGUUCAGAGGGCUGGAGAGGGCGAAGUGGCUCAGCUGACAGGUUUACGGUCAACUUUGUGCCUCCACCUAAGAUGACAGCCCACAGUGAAACAUGCUCGUACAAAAACCUCUGAGCUGCAUGUCAAUGUGUGUAAUGAGACUUCAUGCUUCAGUGACCAUGACUUGUGUGACCAAAAGGGUGGAAAUGGUCAUCAACCUAACAGGAAAUCACUACUCUGAACCACUAACCAGAAUAUGUGAAUCUGCUGGGUAGUCCGCUUGCUCUGGUGCUGUCUACCAAUAAGAACUUCGGACUGCCAUCCUUCUGCUGGUACCAUGUUAAUGCCCAGUCACGGGCAAAGGACCUUCACAUUCUGCCCCAGUUGAACGCUUGCAGACUUGUCCUGGGUCAAGACAAGAGCCUCCAGACCUGAGGACA